AUCACUUCUCUGCCUUUUGGCUAAGGUCAAGUGUAGUAUCUGUUCUUAUCAGUGGGUGGAGGGUCCUAGCUAAGGGGUGUCCAUAGAGUUGCCCUUCACUGGGGAGGCAGCGAGGCACUUAAUCCUCUGGCCAAAGGGCUGGCUAUAUAUUUUUAGCUCGAGCAAUGCCUU
rnacentral:snRNA from 1 species